CCUACGGGCGGCAGCAGUGAGGAAUAUUGCUCAAUGGCCGGAAGGCUGAACCAGCCAUGCCGCGUGAAGGUCAGUGCCCUAUGGGCGUUAAAGUUCUUUUGUGCGGGAGCAAUAAUGGUCACGUGUGGCCAGACGAGAGUACCGUACGAAUAAGCAUCGGCUAACUCCGUGCCAGCAGCCGCGGUAAUACGGGGGAUGCAAGCGUUAUCCGGAUCUAUUGGGGUUAAAGGGUGCGUAGGCUGGGAGGUAAGUCAGCGGUGAAAUGCUCCCGCUCAACGGGGUGAAGUGCCAUUGAUACUGCCUUGCUGGAAGGCGGAUGCCGUGGGAGGAAUGUGUGGUGUAGCGGGGAAAUGCAUAGAUAUCACACAGAACACCGAUUGCGAAGGCAUCUCACGAAUCCGCGAUUGACGCUGAUGCACGAAAGCGUGGGUAUCAAACAGGAUUAGAUACCCCGGUAGUC
rnacentral:rRNA from 1 species